CCUACGGGAGGCAGCAGUGAGGAAUAUUGGUCAAUGGACGAGAGUCUGAACCAGCCAAGUAGCGUGAAGGAUGACUGCCCUAUGGGUUGUAAACUUCUUUUAUAUGGGAAUAAAAUGUUCCACGUGUGGGAUUUUGUAUGUACCAUAUGAAUAAGGAUCGGCUAACUCCGUGCCAGCAGCCGCGGUAAUACGGAGGAUCCGAGCGUUGUCCGGAUUUAUUGGGUUUAAAGGGAGCGUAGGUGGAUUGUUAAGUCAGUUGUGAAAGUUUGCGGCUCAACCGUAAAAGUGCAGUUGAAACUGGCAGACUUGAGUACAGUAGAGGUGGGCGGAAUUCGAGGUGUAGCGGUGAAAUGCGUAGAUAUCACGAAGAACUCCGAUUGCGAAGGCAGCUCACUGGACUGCAACUGACACUGAGGCUCGAAAGUGUGGGUAUCAAACAGGAUUAGAUACCCUAGUAGUC
rnacentral:rRNA from 1 species